rnacentral:lncRNA from 1 species
AUAAUUUUAUUUGCUAUGCAGGUCCUCUGCAUUUCAUAAAGAUUGAUUUUAAUUUAAAUUUAAUAGCUCAAGUACUGAAACUUUAUGAUUUUUGUUUUACAGGCAGCUUGGACUUCUUCCAGUCCUAUCUGAAACAAAACUAUGGCCACAUCGAGAUGGCUGGUUUAGCAGCAGAAGUCACCACAGAGGGUCAUGUGUGGACUACUGAUGCAACAAAAGUGAAAUUUAUUUGGGAUUAAAAGUUAACAGACCGUUGUGCAACCCGGUGAUAAUCUUGUAUUAAAGGAAGUUCUUAUGUAGCAAGCACAAGUUAUGAAGUUGGUAAAGGCUAUUAUUAUUAAUUACAUCAGAUGACUUUUGUUGCUGCAAGGGUGUCGACCAUGUUCAUCUACUGAAGCUGCAAUGACAUCCACUAUCUCAUAGAAUGUUCUAUGAGCAGUACUUUGAGAAAAAUUAUAUCUGUCAUCA